rnacentral:lncRNA from 1 species
UUUUUUUUUUAGAGGGCGUGUACCGAAGCAGUAGGCUUAAGUAGAAUUUGGAUGGUUUAGAAUCAUAACUCGAUUAUGAUUCUAAACAGUAAUAUUAGUUAGGUCAAUAAUGUGUGUCAAUUGAUAGUUAUAACAUAUACAACAACAACCCAAUAUAAUCUCAUUUAGUGGGAUUUGGGGAGGGUAGUGUGUACCCAAACUUUACCCCUACCCUUGGAUAGAGAGGCUGUUUCCAAUAGACCCUCGGCAUCCUUCCGUUCAAGAACUUCUCACCUUGCUCUUGGGGAGACUCGAACUCACAACCUCUCGAUUGGAAGUAGGGGUUGCUUAUCAUAAUAGCAACCAUUAUUGUCUAAACUAGCCGAACAAAAAAUAGCUAGUUAAG